UUCGUUUAUAGGUUUAGGUUACAGUUCGCGAGAAAGAUAAGUGAUAGACAGUUAAAUCCAAAUCUGAUCCGAGAUUCUUCUUAGUCUGUCUAGCCAUAGCCCAUAUUCUUCUUAGUUUGUCUUUCAGGGAUGUUUCCGUAACGUUCUGCGACAAAUCAAAGUCUCUUCUAUCCAUGCCGUAAUUGCGACGACCAUACUUGCUUGACGGUCGGGCUAGAGAUCUCAGAUAGGGAAGAAACCGCAGAUGAUGAAUAUGGUGAUGGCUUUUACAGCUCCAGAAGGCUUUGUCAUGAACAACCUCAAAGAUCGUCUAACUUUCUAUCGAAUCCGAGAAAGAUUGAUCAAAAGAUCCGUUACAAAAAUCACAUAAAUCAGAUUCGAUGCAGAGAGGAACGCAAGUCAACUUUAGCGCAGGAAGCCAAGUUUUCGAGAAAAGAAUGAUCUGCUGCAAUGAGCCAAGUCUCGAGGAUACACACCAGUUAUGUUGAGUCCUGAGAUCAAGUUGUUCGAGCCGAGCAGUGGUGGUGCCGCGGUGGACAGCGAUAAGGCACUCCGUUUUUCCAAUCGAAGGGGAAGGAGGCUCGCAUUGCUUCUGCGGAAAGACAUAUUUGUUAGGACGAGCACCUUAUGAUAAGGCCCUUAUCAAAAGUAGACCCCCUUAUGUUUGUAGUUGCAGCGUAAAGGUAGUUCUAUCACGAUCAUUUGAAAUUGAGCUUAUACUUCUUGAACUACUUAGUAUAUGAUACACUUCUUAAGAUUUUAAAAUGAUGGCCUGCUAAACUUUAAAAUGAUUUUUUAAGAAAUUUUUUAAAAUGUUCCUAGAUCGGCUCCUACAGAGCUGAGGUUGUUGAAACUUUAUGUGUUACACAAGUAUGCUCAUAGACCAUGCGUUCA